AAUAUUGCACAAUGGGGGAAACCCUGAUGCAGCGACGCCGCGUGAGUGAAGAAGUAUUUCGGUAUGUAAAGCUCUAUCAGCAGGGAAGAAAAUGACGGUACCUGAGGAGGAAGCCCCGGCUAACUACGUGCCAGCAGCCGCGGUAAUACGUAGGGGGCAAGCGUUGUCCGGAAUUAUUGGGCGUAAAGGGUGCGUAGGCGGCCUUUUAAGUCAGAUGUGAAAGACCACAGCUUAACUGUGGGAUUGCAUUUGAAACUGAAGGGCUUGAGUGUCGGAGAGGGUAGUGGAAUUCCCGGAGUAGCGGUGAAAUGCGUAGAUAUCGGGAGGAACACCAGUGGCGAAGGCGACUACCUGGACGACAACUGACGCUGAGGCACGAAAGCUAGGGGAGCAAAC
rnacentral:rRNA from 1 species